CUGUAACAGGGAAAGUCUGGAUAUCUGGUGACGAGAGAGCCAGAGUUUGCAGCGUACAUUUCAUUGAUGGAAAAUGUGAUGAUCCAAAAAGUCCUGAUUAUGUACCUUCUGUGAAAAUGGGAUAUGGUAGUUAUGGUGAUAAUGAAGUUUCAGCUUCUAAAAGUGUUGACAGAUAUAAAAGAGCUGUAAAAAGGACUGCUGAUCAAAAGGAGAGGGAAUGCAGAUUGCAAUUGGACUUUUUGAUGACACCUGAUGGCAAAGAAAAUGAUCAUCUGCCUUUACAAGACUUAGACUGCAAUGUGGAGUUG